GUGAAUCAUAAUUUGGCUGGGUCAUUUGUCCAUACGAACUAUCUCUUAAUAGUUGCAUGUAACCAGCGGCUAUUUUAAACCUAGGAUAUUCAAUAUUGAUUGAGGCAGGAAUUUAUUACGCUGUGGUGUUUUGGGCAGUGUUUAGCCUUAAGGAUUUAAAUACACAUAUACUUAAUAAGUGUUUCUCUUUAAACAUUAAGUUGAUUAACUGAAUUAUUGUUUCCUGGUUUAAAUCAAGUACAUACAAAGGUGUAACGAACAGUAUGGAGAUUCUCGUGGGAAUUCUAGUAUUGAUUGCAACUUGCCGUGCUGAUUACUCCCUGUUGGAAGUAGCUAAUAAAUGUGGUAGCACCAUCGAUAUCGAUGACUCGGUGGAGAUACUCUACUCCGGUGAUCCGAUAUCUGGCGUUUGCAAAAUUACAUUUGAGACUGGCGAAACGUUCGACAAUAUAUGUGUGAUGUCACAAGAGUUUAAUGUGGACAGCAGAUUUCGUGACGUCACAGUGCAGUACCAUGGUGCUUAUUACAGCAGCUUUUCACCAGAUAAGGUAAGUCAUAUAUAAGUU